rnacentral:lncRNA from 1 species
UUAUCAUUUUGCUUGCUGUUUUCAAUCAGAUUUUUAUUCAUUAUAAUUUCUCUAUUUUAAAAUGUAUAUAGCAGGGAUCAGCAAACUACCAAUAUGGGCCAAAUCUUGUCUGCUGCCUGUAUUUAAAAUGAAGUUUUAUUGGAACAUGGCUAUGCCUCUUCAUUUACAUGUUGUCUAUGGUUAAUUCUGUGCUACAACGGCAGAAUUAAGAAGUUGUAACAGAGACUGUAUGACAGCAAGCCUAAAAUAUUUACUCUCUGACCCUCUACAGAAAAAAGUUUACCAACCCCUGAUAUACAGAAAAGCUAUUGAAUUUUAUAUUUUAAACAUAAGCAACUUCCCUACUGAAUUUUCUUACUGUUUUUAAUCGUUUUCAAUUUUCUUAGCUUUUCUAGAUUAAAAAAAAAAAAGUCAUGUGUAAAUAAUGGUAAUUAUACUUCAUGUUUUCCAUUAUUGAAAAAUUUUAGGCUUCCUCUGUUCUGGCUUCAUUGAUCAGACUUUCCAGAGAGCUAUCAAAUAAUUCUGGUAGUAGUAGGCAUGCUGAAUUUAAUGGGAUUUCUUCUAAUACAUCAUUAUAAAUUAUGGCUCUGGAUUUUAGUUUGAGAUACCUAGUUUUAUCAAACUAAGAAAAUAUCAAUCCAUUCUUAUUUUAUUAGGGUUCUAUAUUAAUCAAGAAUGACCACUGGCCUUUAUCAAAGAAGUUUCAAUAUUUAUAUAUAUAUUUUAAAUUCUAACCUACUCCCAUAGCAUAUACACUAAUAAAUUUCCUAAUAUGGUAGAACAGAGAUGCACCAUUCAUAUCUCCCUUCAAGAAAAUCCUUGCUGCCCAGCUGCAAGAAGUGCUGUCACAACAGAACUGCCAGCUACCAAUUCCUUCAAGGUGUGCCUCAGCUCAGCAGAGUUACCUCUCCCAUGGACGAGGGUCCCACAGAGCUGGUGACUGAACAAGGACAGAGCAUAAGCUUCUUGCUGGAUCUACUGAAAUUUGGUUUUUUACUACAUCCUUGCUCUAGUGUUGGCAUUUUUGGACCUGGAUUGUAUCCUGAGUAUCAUACAGAUAGUUCUUUCAUCUUAAAUGGAAGAAAAUAAACUCUUGCCCAUGUCAUGGUAAGUGCCAUUAAACUCAUGAGAGAAAAAGAAUUACAGGGUCCCCACUUGUAUGGCUGCUCCUCAGAUUCAACUCUCCCCAAAGAGACAAUAAAAAUAUAUUUACUUUAUAGCCCAACACCUUUUGAGAAAUUGAUCUGUUCUGCAGAUGAAGAGAAAAGCAGUUAGAGGAAAGAUAACUCACAUAAAAUGUUCAAAGUACAGCUCUCUUAAUGGAUUAAUAUCUGAUAGGUUAUUUGACAUUAGUAAAAGACCCAAGGCCAGGUAAAAUUUUUUAUUUGGAGGUAAUAUCAUAUCCACUUCCUUAUAUGGAAAAGAAGCCACAAAAUCUUCAACUUUAUUUUAGAACUAUUUUAUUUUAUAAAUAUUUAAAAGCUGUGAAACCAAUAGUAGGUAUUAAACAUAACACAUAGUGGCUAAUUUUAAUAGUACUAAUACUCCUAACAGUACUAAUAGUACUACUACUACUAAUAAUAAUCCUAAUAGUACUAAUAAUACAUGUGUUAUUUGAGAAACAGGAGAUUUUCAUCAUUUUCACCUGACUCAAGAUAUCUUGCAAAUCUAUGCUUGCCUUAUGCAUUUUACUAACUAUAGGCUGUGAUUUGCAACAAUGCUUAGAAUAAGCUGUUUUAUUAGUUCAGUGACCCAGUAAGAGUAUAUAUAUAAAGCAUAUAUGUGAGAAUAUUUAUGGCAGUGAUUAAUGGCAGCUUAGAAGCAUGUAAAUGAAAAGAUAAAUAACAUAUUCCAUUAUUAACAUUCCUCUGUGAAGUGGGAUGUACGGAGAGAGCAGAACAAUGGAAUGGAGGGAAGUUGGGUCAGACAAGUGAUAAAUCAGUUGUGGAAAAAUAGGGAAGGAAUUAUAAGCAUUAAGCUACCCUUCAAACACAAUGAAUGUGGAAUAAUAACACCAUAUUUGUGAUUAUAAUGAUGUCCUUAUACAUUACAGAUCAAUUCAGAAAGCCGCAUGUUUAUUUUUUAAAUAAACGUAGACAGUAUAUCCACAACAAUAAUAAAAGGGUGCAUAUUAAGCCUCAAUGGAAUCUUAAAUUCUAAAGUACAGCUCUCUAUUUAUAUUAAUAAAAGGCAAAAAGUAUUCCUACUUUGUCCCUAAGACAAAGGAUCUUUGUGCUGAAUUUCCUUAACUAGCAUGUAAUAAUUUACUUGCUUCUUUAUCUCGGAAUGUCAGCUAGAAAGCCCAAUAACAACACUAUACCGAGUAAAACAACUAAGACCUGGAGAAACACCUCAGACUUCUUGUGAAUGGAACAUGUAAUGUGAUGAUUUCACCCAUAGCCUUACCAUUUUCAGGUUAUCUUUUCUCUUCCCUGCUAGAGUCUAAGCUCCUUAAAAACUGGAUCUUAUUCAUAUUUUUAUUUUCUAUAAUACUGCUGACAAUGCCAUGUACAUGGUAGACCUUUAGAGUUUUUUUUUUUUCUUUUUGAGAGGAGUCUCCCUCUGUUGCCCAGGCUGGAGUGCAAUGGCACAAUCUUGGCGCACUGCAACCUCCACCUCCCGGGUUCAAGCAAUUCUCUGCCUCACCCUCCUGAGUAGCUGGGAUUACAGGCGUCAACCACCACAGCCGGCUAAUUUUUGUAUUUUUAGUAGAGACGGGGUUUUACCAUCUUAUCCAGUCUGGUCUUGAACUCCUGACUUCGUGAUCCACCUGCCUAAGCCUCCCAAAGUACUGGGAUUACAGGCGUGAGCCACCACGCCCCACCAGCAAUUUUUUUUUAAUGCUUGCUUAAAGAGGUAGGCCUAUUCUGUGCUUCAGGAUAGAAGAGAGUUGCAUGAAUCAUACUGGGGGAAAAAUAGAAAAAGCCAGUAACCUGUAUGUCUGUCAGCAUCAUCCCUACAGUUUUAAAAAUAUACAGACUCCUUGGCACAAUAUCAGACCUUUGAUUCAACAUCUCGGGAAUAAGGCCUAGGAAUCUUUACCUUUAAUGUGUAGGUGAUUUGAAUGCACAGCUGGGAAUGAGAACCAUUGGUCUGAUACCUAAUUUUUUUUUCCUGGCCUGGUAUGUCAUAAAUUAAUAUAAUAACACCUUCGUGCUUUACAUUUCUCAAAGUGUACAUAUAUUUUACAUAAAUAUAUGUAAUAUCUAAUUUGAGCAAUAUAUGGUCAACAAAUUAUAUGCAACAAGUAUGUGUCCAACAAACUGUUACAUUGGUAGAAAAUUGACCUGGGCAACUCCCUUUACAGUCAAUUCAUUUCCUCCUAAGCAGGGCCCUCACCCAGCACAGGUCCUCUUGCAUAUCAUUCUGUCUGCCCAUACCAAUGGCCCCUAAUGAGGAAAAGAGAAGGCCAUCUGCUGACACCAUGAUUAUGUGCAGAGGGAUCAGUGUUUGAACCUUGGUCUCUAUGAAACACUGAAGCAAAGAGCAGACUUUUCUUCUGCUGCAAACGCCCUCUAGUUAAUUUUCUCAAAAAUGGCCAAAGAAUAUGAAGAGUUUCCCUCAAAACAGGCAAAAACACUUUUCAACUUUUCAGGCUAAAAUUACGAGAUCGGGCAUGUUCAGGGUGGUAUGACCGUAGGCUAAAAUGACUGAAAUUGAAACUUGCCAGGCAAUGGCCAUUGUGUUCCCAAAGUCCUGCAUAGACACAGUUGGCAGUGCAUAAUAUUGGCAACUGUGUCUUUUUCAGUCAUGCAAAAUUGUGCCACGAUGAAGAGAGACUUGACAAAGAGGUCAAAUUUAGCUCACUUGCCAUGCAGUGCUGGAAAAGCUCAGGCACUGACAGAUUUUCUCCGCGAGGUUGGGACAAGGCUGCCAUGUAUGAUUGCUCAGGUUCUGUACUGCACAAGGGCACCAUAUCUAAUGGAACAUCAGCUACAUUAGAAUAUUUUAUUUCUAUGAUUACAGUUUAAUUAACUCCAAAUAUGGGCCAUUUAUUUAUUAUGAUAAUUUUUGGCAGAUGGCAGUAAAAUAUCUUGUAAUAUGAUCAAUAUAUGUCAUUCUACUAUAACUUACAAAAUGAAAUUAAAUACUUUAAAAACCUAGUUGAUCUAACA